rnacentral:rRNA from 1 species
UACGUAGGCAGCAAGCGUUGUUCGGAGUUACUGGGCGUAAAGGGUGUGUAGGCGGUUGUUUAAGUUUGGUGUGAAAUCUCCCGGCUCAACUGGGAGGGUGCGCCGAAUACUGAAUGACUAGAGUGUGGGAGAGGUGAGUGGAAUUCCUGGUGUAGCGGUGAAAUGCGUAGAUAUCAGGAGGAACACCUGCGGCGAAGGCGGGUUGCUGGGCCGACACUGACGCUGAGGCGCGAAAGCCAGGGGAGCGAACGGG